rnacentral:rRNA from 1 species
UACGAAGGGGGCUAGCGUUGUUCGGAUUUACUGGGCGUAAAGCGCACGUAGGCGGAUCGUUAAGUCGGGGGUGAAAUCCUGGAGCUCAACUCCAGAACUGCCUUCGAUACUGGCGAUCUUGAGUCCGGAAGAGGUGAGUGGAACUCCUAGUGUAGAGGUGGAAUUCGUAGAUAUUAGGAAGAACACCAGUGGCGAAGGCGGCUCACUGGUCCGGUUCUGACGCUGAGGUGCGAAAGCGUGGGGAGCAAACAGG